rnacentral:rRNA from 1 species
CCUACGGGUGGCAGCAGUGGGGAAUAUUGCACAAUGGGGGAAACCCUGAUGCAGCAACGCCGCGUGAGUGAAGAAGUAUUUCGGUAUGUAAAGCUCUAUCAGCAGGGAAGAAGAUGACGGUACCUGACCAAGAAGCCCCGGCUAACUACGUGCCAGCAGCCGCGGUAAUACGUAGGGGGCAAGCGUUAUCCGGAUUUACUGGGUGUAAAGGGAGCGCAGACGGCAGUGCAAGUCUGGAGUGAAAGCCCGGGGCCGAACCCCGGAACUGCUCUGGAAACUGUGCGGCUAGAGUGCUGGAGGGGCAGGCGGAAUUCCUAGUGUAGCGGUGAAAUGCGUAGAUAUUAGGAGGAACACCAGUGGCGAAGGCGGCCUGCUGGACAGUAACUGACGUUGAGGCUCGAAAGCGUGGGGAGCAAACAGGAUUAGAUACCCCAGUAGUC